rnacentral:rRNA from 1 species
GAUGAACGCUAGCGGCAGGCCUAACACAUGCAAGUCGAGGGGUAGAAGUUGCUUGCAACUUUGAGACCGGCGCACGGGUGCGUAACGCGUAUGCAAUCUGCCUUGUACUGAGGGAUAGCCCAGAGAAAUUUGGAUUAAUACCUCAUAGUAUUACGAUGUGGCAUCACAAUGUAAUUAAAGUUCCAACGGUACAAGAUGAGCAUGCGUCCCAUUAGUUAGUUGGUAAGGUAACGGCUUACCAAGACGAUGAUGGGUAGGGGUCCUGAGAGGGAGAUCCCCCACACUGGUACUGAGACACGGACCAGACUCCUACGGGAGGCAGCAGUGAGGAAUAUUGGUCAAUGGGCGCAAGCCUGAACCAGCCAUGCCGCGUGCAGGAUGAAGCAUCUAUGGUGUGUAAACUGCUUUUGUACGGGAAGAAACACUCCUACGUGUAGGAGCUUGACGGUACCGUAAGAAUAAGGAUCGGCUAACUCCGUGCCAGCCGCCGCCGUAAUAC